CCCCGCCGCUUCCCCGCCGCUCGGCCCGCGCCGCCCUGCCCUGCCCUGCCCUGGCCGCCCGCCUGCGCGGGAACCGGCCCGCCAGCAGCCCCUCUGUGGGGCGCUUGGGAGCAGCCCCCCCGGGGCCUCCAGCUCUGCGGGUCUGGGAAGCAGUGAUUCAGAGGCUCGCUGCCCUGCUUCAUCGUCACAGGACUGUAUCCCGUCCCUCGGUGAAUCUGGCUACCUUGCCCGCUUCCCCUGCCUCUGGUGGCAACGAGUCCCACCCAUCAGUGACACCCUGGGUAUUGUAGCACAUAUGGUAGACAACAUCAGCCCAUAUGGAAGGUAACACCAUCUAUGGCUAGAGGUACUCCGUUUAAUACCAGGCUUGAAAUGGGAGAACAAUUAAAAAGGAAACCUCUGAAUGGACAUGUGCUGGAACCUGUGGACCUGGUUUUGCAGAUUCUGGACGAGAGUGUAAAGUUACUCAUACAGACUUCCUGAUGAAAGUGCUGGGACUGGCUCAGGACCUCCCAAAGCCCCGCCUGGAGAAGUCAACUUACAGACGGGAUGGAAAUUCUGUGCGCAGCCUUCCUAGUUUCUUCUCCUCCAGACCUCGUACACAUCAGACCUUUCCCAGCAAAGGAACAGCCUUCAGCAGGGUCACCCGAAGACUCUUGGCACGGACAACUGGCAACCGUCAUGUAAAUGCACCUUUGUCAGCUACUGGGAACAAGCAGCCAUAUGUCUAACCUUUCAGGUUACAUGAGUUUCAAAAUUACCCCUAUUGUGAGAGAACUUUUUAAUGUCUCUGGCUGGCUCCAACCAUAGAAUCCCAUCGGUCUUCAUGUGGAACUGUUUGCUUUGUCACUUUCCCUUAUUUUCCUUCUAAAAUCUUGUGUAGGGAGGGAAUUUAUUGAGAUGGAGUGUGCUUGUUACACAGUCAUCUUCAACAAAACAUGACAAUCCAUCACACUCAGGUACUGCUAUUCCUUGAUUACAGUGCUUGGCAGUAAUGUCAUUGCUAAUAAAUCUGCAAAAAACUGGAGGAAACAAUAUUUGAACACAAACAGUAUUUAACAGUCAUGUACCCUCUUCUCACUCCAAGCUCACUUUUGCUUUUAAGGUGAGUGAGUGACACAGUGGGUGCAUCUACAUGAGACGCUUACUACACAUUAGCCUAAUAACAGCACGCAGCAGUGUGUUACAGCAUAAGCCGUGCUAAUAGCCUACUUCUCGGUGUUAUUAGGCACAGUAAGUAUCACUAAAUAACUGUGCGCCAGCGCUACUGUGCAAUACCUUUAGGUACUGCUCAUUUAGCUAGUACUUUAUUGAGGAAAUACUAAACUAAAUACAUAUAUUGCAUAGUAUCUAAGGCGUAUUAAUGAACGUGUAGACACACCCAGUAUGUUGCUAACUCUUACAGAUACGGUCCUGACAAUUAGAGAAGGCAAGUUCAUAUUGGAUGAGGGAGACCUUAUUUGAAAGAUUUUCAGUGUUCAGGCAUACACAUGGGAGAAAGUCCUGGAAGGGAGAAGGGCUGAAGGGUAAGAUGAGUAUAAAGAGUUUCCCAAAGUUCCUGCUCAUGACUUCUGUUGACAAAUCCUGUGCAUGAUUAAGUAUUCCUCAACUAAACAGAAACAGCUUUCAAGAAAUAAAAAGGUACACUUGUGAUAUAAA